UAAGAUAAUGAUUAAUAGGGACAGUUGGGGGCAUUCGUAUUAACACGUCAGAGGUGGAAUUCUUGGAUUGUGUUACGACAAACUACUGCGAAAGCAUUUGCCAAGGAUGUUUUCAUUGAUCAAGAACGAAAGUGAGGGGAUCGAAGACGAUCAGAUACCGUCGUAGUCUUAACCAUAAACUAUGCCGACUAGAGAUUGGAGGUCGUUAUCUAUACGACUCCUUCAGCACCUUAUGAGAAAUCAAAGUCUUUGGGUUCCGGGGGGAGUAUGGUCGCAAGGCUGAAACUUAAAGGAAUUGGCGGGGGAGCACCGCAACCUGAGGAUUGUGCGGUUUAAUUGGAUUCAACGCCGGAAAACUCACCAGAGCCGACGGACAAAUGAAAGCCAGUGUGAUGAGCUUGCUGGAUUGUUCGAGAGGUAGUGCAUGGCCGUCGUCAGUUCGUACCGUAAGGCGUUCUGUUAAGUCAGAUAACGAACGAGACCCUCAUCCCUAUUUGCUAAGGUUACUCCGGUAAUCACAGGACUAUAGGGAGACCGCUGGCGCGAAGUCAGAGGAAGGCGAGGGCAACGGUAGGUCAGUAUGCUCCGAAUGCUCUGGGCUACACGCGCAAUACAAAGGACGGGACAAUGGGCCGCUGUACCGAAAGGACUCGGCUAUCCCGAAACCCGUUCGUAGUUCGGAUUGAGGGCUGUAACUCGCCCUCAUGAAGCUGGAUUAGGUAGUAAUCGCGUCUCAAAAAGGCGCGGUGAAUAUGCCCCUGCUCCUUGCACACACCGCCCGUCAAACCAUCUUAGUUGGGGGUGGGUGAGGCUGCCUCUCUUUCGAGAUGUGGUAUUCGAGCCUGCCUUCGACAAGGAGGGUUAAGUCGUAACAAGGUAUCUGUAGGGGAACCUGCAGAUGGAUCACCUCCU
rnacentral:rRNA from 1 species